AAGACUCUACUUUCAGGGAUCAUUUCUGUAGUUCGCUACUAGAGAAGUUUCUCUGAUUGUGUAGCCCACUGAACACCACAAGGAGGAGGUGCGGCAUUCUCUCCUGAGCAGGAAGCCAGCUCUGGGUGCUUGCUUUACUGCAGCUGCCAUUUGCCAUGGCUGAUUGUUCUUCUCUGCCUUUGUGCAGCGUGAGAGGGAGUGGAUGAAGUCUGG
ensembl:snoRNA U3 Small nucleolar RNA U3